GGGUUGUGAGGUUAAGCGACUAAGCGUACACGGUGGAUGCCCUGGCAGUCAGAGGCGAUGAAGGACGUGCUAAUCUGCGAUAAGCGUCGGUAAGGUGAUAUGAACCGUUAUAACCGGCGAUUUCCGAAUGGGGAAACCCAGUGUGAUUCGUCACACUAUCAUUAACUGAAUCCAUAGGUUAAUGAGGCGAACCGGGGGAACUGAAACAUCUAAGUACCCCGAGGAAAAGAAAUCAACCGAGAUUCCCCCAGUAGCGGCGAGCGAACGGGGAGCAGCCCAGAGCCUGAAUCAGUGUGUGUGUUAGUGGAAGCGUCUGGAAAGGCGCGCGAUACAGGGUGACAGCCCCGUACACAAAAAUGCACAUACUGUGAGCUCGAUGAGUAGGGCGGGACACGUGGUAUCCUGUCUGAAUAUGGGGGGACCAUCCUCCAAGGCUAAAUACUCCUGACUGACCGAUAGUGAACCAGUACCGUGAGGGAAAGGCGAAAAGAACCCCGGCGAGGGGAGUGAAAAAGAACCUGAAACCGUGUACGUACAAGCAGUGGGAGCACGCUUAGGCGUGUGACUGCGUACCUUUUGUAUAAUGGGUCAGCGACUUAUAUUCUGUAGCAAGGUUAACCGAAUAGGGGAGCCGAAGGGAAACCGAGUCUUAACUGGGCGUUAAGUUGCAGGGUAUAGACCCGAAACCCGGUGAUCUAGCCAUGGGCAGGUUGAAGGUUGGGUAACACUAACUGGAGGACCGAACCGACUAAUGUUGAAAAAUUAGCGGAUGACUUGUGGCUGGGGGUGAAAGGCCAAUCAAACCGGGAGAUAGCUGGUUCUCCCCGAAAGCUAUUUAGGUAGCGCCUCGUGAAUUCAUCUCCGGGGGUAGAGCACUGUUUCGGCAAGGGGGUCAUCCCGACUUACCAACCCGAUGCAAACUGCGAAUACCGGAGAAUGUUAUCACGGGAGACACACGGCGGGUGCUAACGUCCGUCGUGAAGAGGGAAACAACCCAGACCGCCAGCUAAGGUCCCAAAGUCAUGGUUAAGUGGGAAACGAUGUGGGAAGGCCCAGACAGCCAGGAUGUUGGCUUAGAAGCAGCCAUCAUUUAAAGAAAGCGUAAUAGCUCACUGGUCGAGUCGGCCUGCGCGGAAGAUGUAACGGGGCUAAACCAUGCACCGAAGCUGCGGCAGCGACGCUGAUGCGUUGUUGGGUAGGGGAGCGUUCUGUAAGCCUGUGAAGGUGUGCUGUGAGGCAUGCUGGAGGUAUCAGAAGUGCGAAUGCUGACAUAAGUAACGAUAAAGCGGGUGAAAAGCCCGCUCGCCGGAAGACCAAGGGUUCCUGUCCAACGUUAAUCGGGGCAGGGUGAGUCGACCCCUAAGGCGAGGCCGAAAGGCGUAGUCGAUGGGAAACAGGUUAAUAUUCCUGUACUUGGUGUUACUGCGAAGGGGGGACGGAGAAGGCUAUGUUGGCCGGGCGACGGUUGUCCCGGUUUAAGCGUGUAGGCUGGUUUUCCAGGCAAAUCCGGAAAAUCAAGGCUGAGGCGUGAUGACGAGGCACUACGGUGCUGAAGCAACAAAUGCCCUGCUUCCAGGAAAAGCCUCUAAGCAUCAGGUAACAUCAAAUCGUACCCCAAACCGACACAGGUGGUCAGGUAGAGAAUACCAAGGCGCUUGAGAGAACUCGGGUGAAGGAACUAGGCAAAAUGGUGCCGUAACUUCGGGAGAAGGCACGCUGAUAUGUAGGUGAAGUCCCUCGCGGAUGGAGCUGAAAUCAGUCGAAGAUACCAGCUGGCUGCAACUGUUUAUUAAAAACACAGCACUGUGCAAACACGAAAGUGGACGUAUACGGUGUGACGCCUGCCCGGUGCCGGAAGGUUAAUUGAUGGGGUCAGCGCAAGCGAAGCUCUUGAUCGAAGCCCCGGUAAACGGCGGCCGUAACUAUAACGGUCCUAAGGUAGCGAAAUUCCUUGUCGGGUAAGUUCCGACCUGCACGAAUGGCGUAAUGAUGGCCAGGCUGUCUCCACCCGAGACUCAGUGAAAUUGAACUCGCUGUGAAGAUGCAGUGUACCCGCGGCAAGACGGAAAGACCCCGUGAACCUUUACUAUAGCUUGACACUGAACAUUGAGCCUUGAUGUGUAGGAUAGGUGGGAGGCUUUGAAGUGUGGACGCCAGUCUGCAUGGAGCCGACCUUGAAAUACCACCCUUUAAUGUUUGAUGUUCUAACGU
rnacentral:rRNA from 1 species